rnacentral:rRNA from 1 species
CAGCCGCCGCGGUAAUACGGAGGGGGCUAGCGUUGUUCGGAAUUACUGGGCGUAAAGCGCACGUAGGCGGCUUGGUAAGUUAGAGGUGAAAGCCCAGGGCUCAACCCUGGAAUUGCCUUUAAGACUGCCGAGCUAGUAGGUGAGAGGGGUGAGUGGAAUUCCGAGUGUAGAGGUGAAAUUCGUAGAUAUUCGGAAGAACACCAGUGGCGAAGGCGGCUUACUGGCUCAUUCUAGACGCUGAGGUGCGAAAGCGUGGGGAGCAAACAGGAUUAGAUACCCCUGUAGUCCCUGUCUCUUAUAC